rnacentral:lncRNA from 1 species
CUUAUGUAAAAUAUACUGGAGAUUUGGCCAUCUCGGAUAUGUCGGGGAUAUGGAUAAACGCUUUGCCAUUAUAAAUAAGAUGUUCCUUUUCACUAAUAAUUUACGAAGUUUAAUAUGUAUAAUUCUUGUAGUAGUUCAGUAACAGCUACACCAAAUCAUUGCUCUUAUCGUGACAUUCAUAGUCAUCUUAUCAGAUUUAUUCCUUUGUAAUCCCUAAACUGCGAACGUGUAAUACCCUAAUCUCCUUAUUUUGAGACAACAAAACCGUGUUAUGGUAUUGUAAACCCUAAACCAAAUCAUAUUAGUUAUUUACCGAAAUGAACAAUAUUAAAAAGAUUUGACUUUUCUUUCCUGGUCAGGUUCCAUUAUUAGCCUGCUACGAAAUGUUUUGGAAAUAAAAGGAAAACCAAAACGUUGCAAAUCAUCACUUAUCAGGGUUUACGGUGUACAUGGAUUACCCUAAUGACUGAUAAACCCUUUACCCAAAUCCAACUACUCCUAAACCCAAAUGAACAAUAGUUAAAAAACUCUGUUGUCUUUCUUGGGCACGUAGCCUCAUUAGCUGGCUAAGAAAAUGCAAAUGUUUGCAUACACAAGGAAAAAAAUAAACGUAGAUAAUCAUCACUUAAGACAUAAGUGGAAAUCCUUCGAACGAAACCGUAAAAGAAAUACGGUAAACCCAAAACCCCACACCCUAAACCGAGAACAAAAUUCCGAAAACCUAAUCCCGGAAACAAUAAACCCUAACCCUAAACACUAACACCUAAAGCCUAAACCCUUAAUACUAAACCAUAAACCCUAUACGCUAAACCCUACCUCAAACCUAACCCCUUGACCAAAAUCCCACUACUGAUGAACCGGGAUGAACAAUAUUAAAAAGAAUUGACUAUUAUUUCUUUCUCAGGUUCCAUAAUUAGCCGGCUACUAAAUGUUUUGCAUAUUUAAAAAAAAGAAGAAAAAGUAGCUAAUCAUCAGUUAACACAGCGGUGGAAACCUUUCUACACAUACCCUAGAAGAUAUUCCCUUAACCCUAAAAUCUAAACCCUAAACACUAAACUCUAAACACUAAACCCUAAAACCUAAACUAUAAACCCUAAACCAUAAACCCUAAACCCCUAUAUCGUCAAUUAUAAACCCUAAACCCUAAACCAUAUACCUUAAACAAUAAACCCUAAACCCUUCCACCCUUGUAAACCCGAAACACUAAACGAAAUCCAAAAAACUUAUAUACCAGAAGGAACAAUAUUAAAACGAAUUAACCUUUCCUUCUUGGCCACGUAACUUCAUUAGCCGGGUACAAAAAUGUUUUGCAUAUAAUAGACAAACAAAACGUACGUUAUAAUGACUUAACACAUAUGUGGAAACAACGGAAAGCUAAUCACUAAACCCUAUACCCUAUUGACACCGAAAAUCUAAUCCAGAAAACAAUAAACCCUAAACCCUAAACACUAAAACCUAAAGCCUAAACCCUUAACACUAAACCCCACCUCAAACCUAACCCCUUGACCAAAAUCCCAUUACUGAUAAACCGAGAUGAACAAUAUUAAAAAGAAUCGACUAUUAAUUCUUUCUCAGGUUCCAUAAUUAGCCGGCUACUAAAUGUUUUGCAUAUUUAAAAAAAAAAAAAAAAAAAAAAAAAAAAAAAAAAAAAAAACGUAUCUAAUCAUCAGUUAACACAGCGGUGGAAACCGUUCUACCCAUACCCUAGAAGAUAUUCUCUUGACCAUAAACACUAAAUCGUAAACACUAAACUCUAAACACUAAUCCCUAAAACCUAAGCUAUAAACCGUACACCGUAAACCCUAAACCCCUUUAUCGUCAAUUAGAAACCCUAAACCCUAAACCCUAUACCUUAGACAAUAAACCCUAAACCCUUCCACCCUUGUAAACCCGAAACCCUAAACCAAAUCCAAAAAACUGAUAUACCAGAAGGAACAAUAUUAAAACGAAUUUACCUUUCCUUCUUGGGCACGUAACUGCAUUAGCCGGGUACAAAAUGUUUUGCAUAUAAUAGGCAAACAAAACUUACGUUAUAAUGACUUAACACAGACGUGGAAACAACGGAAAGCUAAUCACUAAACCCUAUACCCUAUUGACACCGAAAACCUAAUCCAAGAAACAAUAAACCCUAAACCAUAAACACUAAAACCUAAAGCAUAAACACUUAACACUAAACCCUAAACCCUACACGCUAAACCCUACCUCAAUCCUAAUCCCUUGACCAAAAUCCCAUUACUGAUAAACCGAGAUGAACAAUUUUAAAAAGAAUUGACUAUUAAUUCUUUCUCAGGUUCCUUAAUUAGCCAGCUACUAAAUAUUUUGCAUAAUUAAAAAAAACAAAACAUACCUAAUCAUCAGUUAACACAGCGGUGGAAACCUUUCUACCCAUACCCUAGAAGAUAUUCUCUUGACCCUAAACUCUAAAUCGUAAACACUAAACUCUAAACACUAAACCCUAAAACCUAAACUAUAAACCCUAAACCCCUAUAUCGUCAAUUAGAAACCCUAAACCCUAAACCCUAUACCUUAAACAAUAAACCCUAAACCCUUCCACCCUUGUAAACCCGAAACCCUAAACCAAAUCCAAAAAAUUGAUAUACCAGAAGGAACAAUAUUAAAACGAAUUUACCUUUCCUUCUUGGGCACGUAACUUCAUUAGCCGGGUACAAAAUGUUUUGCAUAUAAUAGGCAAACAAAAUGUACAUUAUAAUGUCUUAACACAGACGUGGAAACAACGGAAAGCUAAUCACUAAACCCUAUACCCUAUUGAAACCGAAAAUGUAAUCAAGGAAACAAUAAACCCUAAACCAUAAACACUAAAACCUAAAGCAUAAACACUUAACACUAAACCCUAAACCCUACCUCAAAACUAACCCCUUGACCAAAAUCCCAUUACUGAUAAACCGAGAUGAACAAUUUUAA